GUUUUUGGUUUUCCCUCCCAUUCUCAAAUCUAAUCUGACCAUCCAAAUCGACUCCCACCCCCUUCUCAUUUAGAAAAUUAGGGUUUGUGAGAGCAAUAUGAGAAGCCGUAUGUGAAGAAUAUGACGUGUUUGUGCAUCUAUCUUUAGAUCCCAAUCCCUAAACCUAACAUUCUGAUCGUUCGAUUUAAACCCAUGGAACCUAAUGUCUAUGAACCGAUUGAAGCUCAGAAAAUCAGUUCUCGAAAUUGGAAGGAAAACGAAGCGUUGCCAGGUUGAAUAAUCAAAAGUUGCAGAUUUAAGCGACAAACAAUUAAAGUUCUCACGAUGAAGGUAUUAAGAUAAACAAAAAUCACAGCCUCCUCUGCCCUUUACAAUAUUCUAAUUGUGAUAUUCUGUUAGUUGUGAUAAUCUAACGUUCUUCCAGUUAUGAGUUAUGUGUUGAUGUUUCUUUCAAAAUUUUGUUUUUGUUGGCUUAAUUUUGAUAGACUUGUGCAGCAAUAGCCUACGCAGUAUGCAACGUGUGUAUAACAUAGUAUUGAUCAGUCCAUUGUUAGUGCUUCUAUCUACCUUUUUUAUUUAGCGAUUGGGGCGACAACGUUUCAAGGCGAUGUUUGCUUAUUUCAUGACUUAGAAAAUGGAGGAUGAACCAAGUUUUAACCCUUUUUGGUUUUUAGAUCAUGUUGGUGUUACCACUUCCCGUGUUCAUCUUUAAGGGGGGCUAUCAGCUAUGGAUGAAUUUGGAUUGAGAUCUAUUCCCAAUUUGCAUAAUAUAUAUAUCGGCACUUGUUUCCUUAUCAUCAAGGUUGGGCGGCAGGGGUGUAUCAAACUUACAUAGAUGGCUGUACAAGGCAAAGACCAAGGCUACAAUCUUGUUCUAGAAUUCAAUGGAGCAAUUUUGGUGUUGUAAAAGAUCAAAGUAACUCGUCUUCAGAGUUGUGGACCUUGCAACGGGUCUUGUGCCAAACCUAGGACCAACGUGUCUGAAUCUGCAACAUGUGGUGGUCAAAGCCAAGUUGUAUCUUUAUCUCUAUUUAUCUGGUUUUAGUUCCUUGUAUUUGUAGAAUUUGUACAUUUUUGUAAAUUGAUAUGAAUUUAUUGAAUAGGAUU
rnacentral:lncRNA from 1 species